GCCGCUCCCGCGCCCUCAGACGCGCCUGGAUCCGGAAGCGCGCGGGCGGUUCCGGCAGUUCCGGGAGUUGCGGGGCUCGCACGGCGGCUCCGGUGUGCGCCUCCCGCCGCAUCUCCUCCCCAUCUCCUCCCCUUCAAUGGCGCACAUCACCAUUAAUCAGUACUUGCAGCAAGUACAAGAAGCCAUUGAGACCAGAGAUGGUACAUUUUGUGCAGAAUUGGUAUCAUUUAAACAUCCACAUGUUGCAAACCCAAGGCUACAGCUUCCAUCUCCAGAGGAGAAGUGCCAACAAGUUUUGGAAUCGCCAUAUGAUGAAAUGUUUGCAGCCCACUUAAGGUGUACUUAUGCAGUUGCAAACCAUGACUUUGUAGAAGCAUACAAAUGCCAAACAGUUAUUGUCCAAUCUUUCCUGCGAGCAUUUCAGGCACAUAAAGAAGAAAAUUGGGCCUUACCUAUUAUGUAUUCUGUAGCCCUUGAUCUUCGAAUUUUUGCUAAUAAUGCAGAUCAACAGCUUGUGAAGAAAGGGAAAAGCAAAGUGGGUGACAUGUUGGAAAAAGCAGCAGAGCUGCUGAUGGGCUGCUUUCGAGUCUGUGCCAGUGACACUCGAGCAGGCAUCGAAGACUCAAAAAAGUGGGGCAUGUUGUUUCUUGUGAAUCAGCUGUUUAAAAUUUAUUUUAAGAUCAACAAGCUCCAUCUCUGUAAGCCCUUAAUUAGAGCAAUUGACAGCUCAAAUCUGAAGGAGGAGUAUAGUAUGGCACAGAGAGUUACAUACAAAUACUAUGUUGGACGCAAGGCCAUGUUUGACAGCGACUUUAAGCAAGCUGAAGAGUAUCUGUCAUUUGCCUUUGAGCACUGUCACCGAUCAAGCCAGAAGAACAAAAGAAUGAUUUUGAUCUACCUGCUGCCAGUAAAAAUGUUGUUGCAGAGUGCCUCUCUGCUGAUCAGCUGCACACAAAAGCCAGGGAAGGUGUGGAUUCACUGGAAGCAGAAUUUGUCUGCCUCUUUCACCUGGUGGAAGAAAGAAGGGUGUGCAAGCAGAUGGCUGAGGACUGUUGAGAGGGGUUUGCUGCAGCUACAGCCUGCCUUUGGCUUUUUUAUUUGUACCUCGUACAUUUUCCCAUUCAAGGCAUGUCAGAAGGGUCAUGAAGCAGAGCAUUUUGGUUCUGAAAAAUCAGUGAAGACUUGUUACUGUUUGAUCAUUUCAUAUUUCUAUUAAAAGAAUUAAGCACAUGUGUUUCUUGUUCCUGUCCAUUCCCAUGUGCUGUGCUAACAUUUGUGUAUCCCUGAAUUAGUGGAUUAUGCUGAGUAUUAAUUCAGUGUGACUGAGGGGACAGGAACUAGAUUUUAGAGUUUCCUGUUCUGGCCCUGUUCCCAAAGUUGCCCAUGUAGAAUGUUUCUCCUGCCUCUGUUGAGUUGCCACUUUCCACCUUCCCCCUGACCUGUUUAUGACCUCCCUGCUUUUUCCUUUCAGUGCUUCUUUCCAAUUCCUUGCUGUGUCAAGUGGGUAAAGGGGAAGUAUAGUGGGUAUGAUAAUUGGCUUCUGUUUUCCUUGUUUUAAUUGUCGCCUUUCUUAGCAGCUGUUUUCAGAUCAGUCAUUGGUAGGGUUGGUAAAGGAAAACUUAUUAACAGUCUUCCUAAAAGCUUUGUCCCAGUCCUGACUAGGUGCCUUAAGCUGGUUGGUCUGUUAGUGCCUAGAAUUACUGUGGCUUUUCUAAAGCAGUUUUAGUGUACAAGAGACAUUAAAGAAGCUAGAUAAAAGGUCAUUGUAUUUAUAGUUACUUUUUAAAAUCAGAGCCCAAAUAUUAACACUAACUUCAAACUACUAAAAUAGCUUGUGUGUUGGUUUUUUGUUCCUAACAGCUCUCAGUAAACCUGCAGCUCAGUUCUGCUCUCAGCUAAUCCUUCAUCCAGGAAAGGAGUUAGCAACAGCAUAGCAUGAUGUAACUAAAUUUAAAGUCUGACCAAGUCAGCGUGCAUUCUGAUCUUUGCUGUGCAGGGGAUAAAAGGCAAAGUUUCUUUUUGAUUCUGUAGGUGGUUCAGUCUUACCUGAUGUAACAAUAAGAAUUAAUUUUGUUCCCUUAAAUUUAACCUUUCUCUCCCCUUUUUUUCUUUUUUUUUGGGGGGUGAGGAGGGGGCAUGGUGGUGGUGUUUGUUUUCUGAGAGGACAUUUUUAUUUCUGCAUGGAGGCAUAGAGAAGAAAAAAUCAGUUACAGACUGAGAUAACACUUGACAAGGCUGAAGAAGUGCUCAUAUUCCUUUGGAAAUGCUUGGGAGUCCUGCAGUUCUUCUGUUUGUAGAUUAGAUGAUAGAGCUAUGGCAUAAUUUGAAUCUGCCAAGGCCUCAUGUACAAGAUCUUGAUUCUACAAGUUUGAUAGAUGUUCCCUAACAAUAAGUGUUGCUUGUCCCUAAAUCAUGAUAAAUCAGUAGUUACUGUGAGUUGUGCUAUAAGAGGGACAAGGAGGUUGUCUUGCAAAUACUUUUAUUCACUUCUUAUUCUGUAGCAAAAAAAAAAAAUGGUUAAACAUUCUUCUUUUUCUCUUAACAAUUUUUAAUAGCUUACUAGAUUCUAUUUAAAAUGCAUUUAACUUUACCCUGGAAAACUUGGACACCAUUU